GAUGAAGAACGUAGCGAAAUGCGAUAAGUAAUGUGAAUUGCAGAAUUCAGUGAAUCAUCGAAUCUUUGAACGCACAUUGCGCCCGCCAGUAUUCUGGCGGGCAUGCCUGUUCGAGCGUCAUUUCAACCCUCAGGCCCCCAGUGCCUGGUGUUGGGGAUCGGCCCAGCCUUCCUGUAAGGCCGCCGGCCCCGAAAUCUAGUGGCGGUCUCGCUGUAGUCCUCCUCUGCGUAGUAGCGCAACCUCGCAGUUGGAACGCGGCGGUGGCCAUGCCGUUAAACACCCCACUUCUGAAAGUUGACCUCGGAUCAGGUAGGAAUACCCGCUGAACUUAAGCAUAUCAAUAAGCGGAGGA
rnacentral:misc_RNA from 1 species